AUGGGUCAAACAGGAGGCGCUGCGUGCCCUGAGCCGCUUUUACCGUGGGAAUCCUUCGAGGAGGAGCGCGGGAAGGCCGUGCCCCCCUUGCCCCGCUUUCCCAGCGGGUCAGCCAGCUUCGCCCUGCUCCUGGCUCGCUUGGCAAAUUCCUCAGGAGCAGCGAGCCUGGCCCGGGCCGGCCUCUCUGCCUCCGCUCCCUGCUCCCAGCCCCAGCAGGUGCCGGCGCAAGCCCCGCGCUGUGGCUCCAGCUCGGUGCCGGCAGCUGCGGGGCUGGGGCACGGCAGGCGGCGUAAAGCAGCCCCAGGUCGUCCCCGUUCCCGAGAGGAGGGACAGCGGGGGCAGGCGGGAGCAGAGGCAGCUGGCGAGCGCUCCUCCGAGCAAAUAUUUAGCAUUUUUAUGUGCCUGUGUCUGGGGGCUGUGGAGCCAGGCUCGCGGUGCCCAGAAACGUCUGUUUUUUCGGCUCAUUCCAGAGGCGGCCGCUCAGCCGGGCUGCUCGGGCAAGGGGCAAAGUCUGCAGGGCUUCAAGCACAGGUCUGCGGGGCCUGCAUCUUGUCCCUGCUGGGGCCAGGGCCUCGUCCCCAUCUCCUCGGCCUGGGAAGAGGAACAAGGACAGGGCUGAAGCAGCCUCAACGCUGUGAUUUCGCCGCCUUCAUGGGGCAAGUGGUGGCACCGUGGAUCCAGCCUCCUCCUCGCCUGCGGGGAGAGGCACCUUCAGCACCCCUCGCCGUGGGAUUUGGCCACGUCCCCUCAUCGCACACAGCUCCGUGCCUCCUCCUGCAGCCAGGAGCUGAACUUUGCCACCAAAACCGCCUCCGAGCACAGCCCGUGCCCGGGACACCCCGUCCUCGCUGUGGAAGAGCGGGGCCAGAGCCAGCACUGGCGAAGGGCCAGCGGUGCUGUGCCCGACCGUGCGCUGCACACUCCCCCCUUGGGUGCUUUGCUGCCUUUUUUUGGGGUUUCAGACCUAUUUUUGGGUGCAUAUCACACCCACUGCCUGAGCUGUGUGAGCUCUGUGCUGUGCCAGCACCCUGGCGUCCAGCCUCGUGCUGGCACCUCGGGAGCUGCCCUUUGGGAACUUCUGUGCGGCCCUGA
rnacentral:lncRNA from 1 species